UGUCGCACAGUGUAAUGUGCCCAUGUAAAAGGGCAAAUUAACCCUUUUUUUCACUCAUCACUGAACCAAAAAAUAAGUACAUAUAUAAAUGGAAUCAGCCUUUAAUUAGGCAUCGAGUUCCAGCCGGAGGAGCAUGAGUAAACUGCUGCUGGAAUGAUGACUUAAUUUACGAGAUUUAUUCAGCUGUACAAACGACUUUGGCGUCAUGAAUUACGCAUUACAUUUCAUUUCUCUGCAAUUUAGUCUGCCAGGAUAUUCGGUGCUCGGGAUUCAGGCUGCACCUGCAACUGGUUUGGUAUGCUUUCCCCUAAAGAACCCAUCUGCAUUCUCCCUUUUGCCAGAAUGGACACGAAUUUGACCGCCCGUGAACUUAGGCUUUUUGCCAGGAGAAUUCUGGAGAAAUAUGCCUGCCAUUUAUUCGCUUUGUUUUCUACUUUGCUUCCCCGCUUGAAAUUCCCCUUACUUUUGAGCCAAAGUUUAAGCAGAGUUAUGCGAACCGUGUGCAGUUGGUUUCGGCCAUAUUAACUCCACUCAACUCUAUUAGGGUAAACUACUUAGCGGAGGUCCCCCGUACUUCCCCCCAUUUGACUCUCGAAACUCCACGAGUGAGUGCGCCUUGUAUUUCACAUUUUAUUCGAGCAUUCGAGUCGAGUCUCAACGUGUGGCUUUUAUGGUUAUUGCUUUUGGGGUCUUGGUCUGAUGGAGCAAGAAGAAGAGGAAGAAGCUCAACCUCAACUCUUUCCUCACAUUUCACUUGAUGAAAUUGUGUUCUUUAAAACAUUCAACUCCUCCCCUUCGAGUGUGUGUAUUUUAUGGCCAGCUUUUAGGAGCUGUUAAGACAAACAUGCAAGCGUAAAAAAGAGAAAUGAGCGGGUAAUUGAUCUAUAUAAUUUAUAGUAUAUAAUAUCCUCUUUCCAUACCUCUCUUUAUUUUUUUUGAACCCCCGUCAACUGUCAAGGUGAAAUGAACUGAGUAUAAUCAUGAGUUCAGUCGAAUUUAAUUUCAAGGCAGCUGCAGUUCAAUUGCUACCUGCAUUUUUCACCCUUUUAUUCUCACUUUUUUGCAGCUCAAUUUCAGGGAAACAGACCCGCAUUUCAGCUGCGGGUUUGCUGCAUAUUUUACGUAUUUUUUUUUAGCCUUAUUAAAUAAUUGUUCUGCAGCGCAGCUCUAGGCAUUCGACUCUAAAUCAAAUGGAGACAUCUCGCUACUAUUCGGUUUUUAUGGCUCCGCAGCAGCAGGGAGCUGAAUCCAAUUAAAAACUUUAUUGCUCGAAUUGAUUUUUAUUGUACACUUCUUCGGCUGCAGAUAAAUAGAGAAAGGGAGAUACAAUUUCGAAAGUCAAAGAGGGAAAGAGGUUAUCAUCGCUGCUCCCAAAAAAAUUGUGUCAAUUGGUUUUAUUUCCCUCUUUCGUUUUCAGUGUUUUUUUUUUUUUUAGUGCCGGCUGACUUUCCAUCUCUCGUUAUCUAUAGGAUGGUUUUAAUUAUGACUGUGGGGGUGGGGAGAUACCACGCCCACGCAUUCACACACAUGCCCCCAAAAAAAUCCAUAAUUAAUAAAUUAAACCAAUUAAAUACAAAAGAGUCGAUUUGAAGUGGCGUUUCAUUAAAAGCGUAAUUGCAAAGAGAAAUUAAUUUGGUGUUUCUGGCUUCAUGAAAGCUCAAUUAAUCUGGCAUUGCGGAUUUAUGUGCAUUAUUAUUAAUAUGGGAGGCCUGAGUUCCGCACUUGAAAGUCCGUACUCUUUGGCUUAAAAAGAAAAGUUCAUGGCAAUUAUAAUUCUCCUCAACUUUUAUGCAAAAUGCCAGUUCUUAGUCCUUGGUGCAUGCAAAUUUUGCCAGCAAAUGCACUCGGCUUUUAACGGCUUAGGAAAUGCAUAUUAUUUUAAAGCAUAUUUCCCUGUACAUAAGUUUUUGUGUACCUUGCCUUGUGCAUUUUUGUCAAUCUCUUGUUGGCCUUUGUCUGCCUUCAACAGGAACACAAAAAAAAGGGCUACAGAAACAAAAACCCUUUUUGCAUUAUUUGAAUUCCUCCCCUAACAUUUUACCCCAUCCACUCACUUUUUACUGGCCUUUUCAUCCUGAAAAUAUUUUUUGUUGCUGGGCAAAUAACCAAAAAGAGAAAAAACAACUCAAAUUGAAAACUGAAAAGAGUUGAUUUGCUUUAAUUGAGCAAACAUUUUGUACAAAUUUUGUUAUUCAAUUGAGUUUGCCAUUUCUGUAAUUACGCUCGACGCGUUCAUUGAAUCAAAUUAAACAAUUAUAAUUCAGUCAGAUUUGUGCGUUCACAAAUUUCCUAGAAAUCCCCGCUUUAAAAACUGGAGCUCUACGUCCGAAGAAGGAGAAAUGGAAAAAUGGCUUAAUUGAGUUUAAUUGUUGGAGCGGACCUACGAAAUCAACUCGACAAGUCACGCAGCAGGCAUUUACAUAAGAUUAACGACAAACAAAAACGAGAAAAAAAUAGAGGAAAAAUUCAAAAAUGAAUUUGAUGCACUUUGUUGCGAGUCAAAAGUGAUCCAAAUUCGUGGAUAAGAAGGGAAAGAGCGGGGGGCAUUGACGAUAAAGCCCAAAGGAGGAGCAGCAGGCUUAGAUGGCGACAGUUUCUCCGGCUCCUUCGGAAAAAAUAAAAACAACUCGCUUUUGCCAUAUGCAAAUUGCAGUUUGUUGGCCGAUAAAAAAUUAGCAGUUCGAAGGAAAAGACUCCGUAAACAUUGGUACAGUGAAAAAUGUAUGGCCAGAAAAGACAUGACAGACUUGUGCGAGGUGAAGAAAUAUUAUGUAGUAUACACAGAGAAAAAUGUUCGGUUUAAAUGAAUACGUCUUCAUAAAGUAUAAACAAAAUGUUUAGUUUAAUAAGAAAAUAUUUAACCAAAGAAAAUUGUUAUUUUGUAAUGGUUUAUUGAUAUUUUAAAAGAAAUUUAGAUGAAAGUUUGAAGAAAUCAAAUAGUAUAGUAAAUAUAAUAAUCUAUCUUAAA